GAUGAACGCUGACAGAAUGCUUAACACAUGCAAGUCUACUUGAACUUCGGUUUGGGUGGCGGACGGGUGAGUAACGCGUAAAGAACUUACCUCACAGUUAGGGACAACAUUUGGAAACGAAUGCUAAUACCUGAUAUUAUGAUUUUAGGGCAUCCUAAGAUUAUGAAAGCUAUAUGCGCUGUGAGAGAGCUUUGCGUCCCAUUAGCUAGUUGGAGAGGUAACGGCUCACCAAGGCGAUGAUGGGUAGCCGGCCUGAGAGGGUGAACGGCCACAAGGGGACUGAGACACGGCCCUUACUCCUACGGGAGGCAGCAGUGGGGAAUAUGGGACAAUGGACCAAAAGUCUGAUCCAGCAAUUCUGUGUGCACGAUGACGUUUUUCGGAAUGUAAAGUGCUUUCAGUUGGGAAGAAAAAAAUGACGGUACCAACAGAAGAAGUGACGGCUAAAUACGUG
rnacentral:rRNA from 1 species